UUGGAGGGCAAGUCUGGUGCCAGCAGCCGCGGUAAUUCCAGCUCCAAUAGCGUAUAUUAGAGUUGUUGCAGUUAAAAAGCUCGUAGUUGAAUUUCGGGAUCAGAGUGUCGGUCGUGCCUCGGUACGCACUGGUAUUAUUGGUUCCUACCUUCUGAAGAACCGCGAUGUCAUUAAUUUGGUGUCGUGGGGAAUCAGGACUGUUACUUUGAAAAAAUUAGAGUGUUUAAAGCAGGCUUACGCUUGAAUACAUUAGUAUGGAAUAAUGAAAUAGGACGUUUGAUUCUAUUUUGUUGGUUUCUAGGAUUGACGUAAUGAUUAAUAGGGAUAGUUGGGGGCAUUAGUAUUCAAUUGUCAGAGGUGAAAUUCUUGGAUUUAUUGAAGACUAACUACUGCGAAAGCAUUUGCCAAGGAUGUUUUCAUUAAUCAAGAACGAAAGUUAGGGGAUCGAAGACGAUCAGAUACCGUCGUAGUCUUAACCAUAAACUAUGCCGACUAGGGAUCGGAUGAUGUUAAUUUUUUAAUGACUCAUUCGGCGCCUUACGGGAAACCAAAGUGUUUGGGUUC
rnacentral:rRNA from 1 species